rnacentral:misc_RNA from 1 species
UUUCCGUAGGUGAACCUGCGGAAGGAUCAUUAUUGAAUGAACUUGGUAGUGGUUGUAGCUGGCUCUCUCGAGAGCAUGUGCACACCCGCCAUCUUUAUCUUUCCACCUGUGCACUUCUUGUAGACUUUGGGAUUUGAAAACUUAUCCGGGGCAACUCGGUCGGGAGGAGCUGCUGUAGCAAUACGGCUCUCCUUGACAAGUCUUCAAAGUCUAUGAUUUUCAUAUACCCCAUAGUAUGUAACAGAAUGUAUACAAAUGAGCCUUAGUGCUUAUAAAACUUAUACAACUUUCAACAACGGAUCUCUUGGCUCUC